rnacentral:rRNA from 1 species
AUUGAACGCUGGCGGCAGGCCUAACACAUGCAAUUCGAGCGGCUCGGCGAACUGGUGAGUAAUGCCUAGGCAUCUGGCUGGUAGUGGUGGAUAACGUUCGGAAACGGGCGCUAAUACUGCAUACUAUCAGAUGAGCCUAGGUCGGGUUAGCUAGUUGGUGGGGUAAAGGGCUAACGAGGAGACGAUCCGUAACUGGUCUGAGAGGAUGAACAGUCACACUGGAACGGAGACACGGUCCAGACUCCUACGGGAGGCAGCAGGGGGGAAUAUUGGACAAUGGGCGAAAGCCUGAUCCAGCCAUGCCGCGUGUGGGAAGAAGGUCUUCGGAUUGUAAAGCACUUGAAGUUGGGAGGCGUUACCAACAGAAUAAGCACCGGCUAACUACGUGCCAGCAGCCGCGGUAAUAC